UCCUACGGGAGGCAGCAGUGAGGAAUAUUGGUCAAUGGGCGGGAGCCUGAACCAGCCAUGCCGCGUGAAGGCGAGUGCCCUACGGGCGUUAAACUUCUUUUGUGCGGGAGCAAUAAGGGCCACGUGUGGCCCGAUGAGAGUACCGCACGAAUAAGCAUCGGCUAACUCCGUGCCAGCAGCCGCGGUAAUACGGAGGAUCCGAGCGUUAUCCGGAUUUAUUGGGUUUAAAGGGAGCGUAGAUGGGUUGUUAAGUCAGUUGUGAAAGUUUGCGGCUCAACCGUAAAAUUGCAAUUGAUACUGGCAGU
rnacentral:rRNA from 1 species